UACAGAGGGUGCAAACGUUGCUCGGAAUUAUUGGGCGUAAAGCGCACGUAGGCGGUUUGGUAAGUUGGAUGUGAAAACCCUGGGCUUAACCCUGGAAGUGCAUCCAAGACUGCCAAGCUAGAGUGUCGGAGGGGGUCGGAGAAUUCCCGGUGUAGAGGUGAAAUUCGUAGAUAUCGGGAGGAACAUCUGUGGCGAAGGCGCCGACCUGGACGACAACUGACGCUGAGGUGCGAAAGCAUGGGGAGCAAACAGG
rnacentral:rRNA from 1 species